rnacentral:rRNA from 1 species
UACGUAGGGGGCUAGCGUUGUCCGGAAUCAUUGGGCGUAAAGCGCGCGUAGGCGGCCAGAUAAGUCCGGUGUGAAAGUCAAAGGCUCAACCUUUGAAUGCCGCUGGAAACUGUCUGGCUAGAGUCCGGAAGGGGCGAGUGGAACUCCUGGUGUAGCGGUGAAAUGCGCAGAUAUCAGGAAGAACACCAAUGGCGAAGGCAGCUCGCUAGGACGGUACUGACGCUGAGGCGCGAAAGCGUGGGGAGCGAGCAGG